ACGUAGCCAAAUAUAAUCAACUAAUUUUAUCUGUUAUCAUAUUAUCGUAAAUAUCUACACGUAUAUAAAUGAUGAUUAUUCAAAAAAUAUUAACAGUGCUCCGUCUCACCUAUACCUUACGCCUAGGCAUACAAUUUGAGAAAUUCUGCAAUUUACAAAGCAGUCCUAAAACGAUGUCAAAAUAUCCGGAACCCAUGGAAGUUGAUCCUGACGAACCUUCUUUUUAUAUUUCUGAACCCAUGGAGGUUGAUCCUGACGAACCUUCCUUUUAUAUUUCUGAACCCAUGGAGGUUGAUCCUGACGAACCAGAUUUUAAUCAAGUUUCAGAUUUUCAUGUUUCUCGCGGCACUAGAUUUAUUAAUCGCAAAUUAGAAAAAAAAUUAAAUUACAGAAUUUCCAAAAGUAAGCCCAGGUAUUCCGCAUAUCCAAAAAUGGUCCAAAGAACAACCAUGAACCUGAAUUUAUGGAAGUUGAAGCGGACAUAUCAUUUGUUAGCUCCAUGUAAUGUUUCUGUGUUAAUCAAGUGUUCUAUGUUUCAACGCUCUGGAAAUGGGUUUCAAAGCAAGCCAAAUAUCUACAUGCGUGUCUCAAAAAUGUUGAAGACAAUAAAACUCUACCAAAUCCUCCAGUUAUCAAUACUCGAGAUGAUGGUAAUUUUAUUCUAAUAAUUUAUUUUUUUCAAACAGAACAAGGAACCAAGCAUUCCGUAGGAAAUUAUUUCAAAAAAAAUAAUUUAUUUCAUUUAUUUAGUAAAAUUUAGCAAAAAAAGUUUAAAAAAACAUCAGUUUAAAUACACUGAGAAAAAUACUAUAUAUUUAAAAAAUAAUUUAAUAAAAGAAGAAAUAAAUUUA